rnacentral:rRNA from 1 species
GAUGAACGCUAGCGGGAGGCUUAACACAUGCAAGUCGAGGGAUAGUUUCAGCAAUGGGACGAAAACCGGCGCACGGGUGAGUAACGCGUAUGCAACCUGCCCUUAACCGGGGGAUAGCCCGUCGAAAGGCGGAUUAAUACCCCAUAAUAUCAUUAUUCUGCAUGGGAUGAUGAUUAAAGCUUCGGUGGUAAAGGAUGGGCAUGCGUGACAUUAGCUUGUUGGUAGGGUAACGGCCUACCAAGGCUACGAUGUCUAGGGGUUCUGAGAGGAAGGUCCCCCACACUGGUACUGAGACACGGACCAGACUCCUACGGGAGGCAG